CGACGCGUUGGUCCCCCUGAGCAUCCCUCUGCUGUUCGACUACUUCCUCUACAGCCGAGGAAAUUCUAUCGAGUUCUCCCGGAGCACAGGGCCAGAGCGGACCAGAUGGUGUUGCGCCAAUGCAAGAAGAAGGCCCGCCAGAUGCAGUACGAGGUGCGCUAUGUGGCCAUCUCGACAUACCAUCACGACUAUCUUGGUGUGAAGAUGACCAAGGAAGACGCGCGGAGGAUGGGCAUUACCUUGGAGAGGGACGAGUUCUUGAAGGUGUUACCAAAUUGGUGUUAUGGAAAAGACGAGUCCUGGGCGGCAUUGGUGGAUCUUUG